GACGAACGCUGGCGGCGUGCCUAAUACAUGCAAGUCGAGCGGACUUGAUGGAGCUUGCUCCAUCAAGUUAGCGGCGGACGGGUGAGUAACACGUGGGCAACCUGCCUGUAAGACUGGGAUAACUCCGGGAAACCGGAGCUAAUACCGGAUAGUAUCUUGAACCGCAUGGUUCAAGCUGGAAAGACGGUUUCGGCUGUCACUUACAGAUGGGCCCGCGGCGCAUUAGCUAGUUGGUGAGGUAAUGGCUCACCAAGGCAACGAUGCGUAGCCGACCUGAGAGGGUGAUCGGCCACACUGGGACUGAGACACGGCCCAGACUCCUACGGGAGGCAGCAGUAGGGAAUCUUCCGCAAUGGACGAAAGUCUGACGGAGCAACGCCGCGUGAGUGAUGAAGGUUUUCGGAUCGUAAAACUCUGUUGUUAGGGAAGAACAAGUGCGAGAGUAACUGCUCGCACCUUGACGGUACCUAGCCAGAAAGCCACGGCUAACUACGUGCCAGCAGCCGCGGUAAUACGUAGGUGGCAAGCGUUGUCCGGAAUUAUUGGGCGUAAAGCGCGCGCAGGUGGUUUCUUAAGUCUGAUGUGAAAGCCCUCGGCUCAACCGGGGAGGGUCAUUGGAAACUGGGAAACUUGAGUGCAGAAGAGGAGAGUGGAAUUCCACGUGUAGCGGUGAAAUGCGUAGAGAUGUGGAGGAACACCAGUGGCGAAGGCGACUCUCUGGUCUGUAACUGACGCUGAGGCGCGAAAGCGUGGGGAGCGAACAGGA
rnacentral:rRNA from 1 species